GGCUGGACUUUGGGCCUCCCGUGCAGCUGCAGCUGGGCCUGGGCAGGGGCUGGAGGGGGUGACAGGAGGUUUAUGUUCGAGGCUGUGUCACUGUGUUAUGUGUUCGGCGGAGGGACCCAUCUGACCGUCCUGGGUCAGCCCAAGUCCGCACCCUCGGUCACCCUGUUCCCGCCCUCCACUGACGAGCUCGGCAACAACAAGGCCACACUGGUGUGUCUGGUCAGUGACUUCUACCCGGGAGCCGUGACAGUGGCCUGGAAGGAAAAUGGCAGCCCCGUCUCCCAGGGCGUGGAGACCACCAAGCCCUCCAAGCAGAGCAACAACAAGUAUGCGGCCAGCAGCUACCUGAGCAUGUCAGCCAGCAAGUGGAAAUCUGCCAGCCAGUACAGCUGCCAGGUGACCCACGAAGGCAGCACUGUGGAGAAGACAGUGGUCCCCUCGGAGUGUUCCUAACACUGAGCCCCCAUUUUCUGGGACUCUGCUCAGCCACAUCAUCCAAUCCCUAGCUCUCCACUGUAUCCCUGGGACUCCUGCCCCUGUCUCCUCAGACUGGGCUGGUCUCAAAAACUCCCCUUUUCUCCAUUUUCUCAAUAAAACCCUGGACAUU